UUGCCUUUCUCUGUGUGUAAUUCUGCCAUAACACCUUAACAAAGGAAAUUUUCCAUUUGCGGAGUAUUUUGCUCUUUCGGUUCAUAAUGCCUACCGAUACCUCCUCAUAGGACAGAUCCUCCUGAAGUGAGAGGGGCUCAUGGGCCAAGAUGUGAGAGAGGUCUGAGUUGUACUUGCGUAGCAUGGACACAUGAAACACAUUAUGGAUCUGAAUAGUUCUAGAAGUAAUUUCAGUCUGUAGACAGCGGUACCAAUUUUGUCUAAGAUUUCAAAUGACUCAAUAAACUGAGAAUUUAGUUUCCCCCCCUUGCCAAGUCUACUGAUUCUCUUGAAAUGAGUGACCUUAAGGAACACUCGAUCACCUUUCUCAAAUUCUAAAUCCCUCCUUUAGGGGUCUGCAUAACUCUUCUACCUGCUCUGAGUCAUCUGGAUGUUUCAUUGUAGUCUCCUCCACAAGAUAUGGGUCGAACAAUUUUCUAUCACCCACCUCUUCCCAACAGAUCGGUGAUUU
rnacentral:lncRNA from 1 species